rfam:Sus scrofa chromosome 7.
CCAAAGGCUCUUUUCAGAGCCACUUACAUUUUCAUUUAAAGAGCUG